CAGAUGGGCAGUUUGACUGGGGCGGUCGCCUCCUAAAGAGUAACGGAGGCGCCCAAAGGUUCCCUCAGCCUGGUUGGCAAUCAGGUGGUGAGUGUAAGUGCACAAGGGGGCUUGACUGUGAGACUGACAGGUCGAGCAGGGACGAAAGUCGGGACUAGUGAUCCGGCACCUACUUGUGGAUGUGGUGUCGCUCAACGGAUAAAAGGUACCCCGGGGAUAACAGGCUGAUCUUCCCCAAGAGUCCAUAUCGACGGGAUGGUUUGGCACCUCGAUGUCGGCUCGUCGCAUCCUGGG
rnacentral:rRNA from 1 species